UAGAUGCCAAGAGCAACUUUCCAAUUGUGAC
rnacentral:piRNA from 1 species